UCAGGAUGAACGCUGGCGGCUUGCUUAAUGCAUGCAAGUCGAACGAGAACCUCUUAAUAGGUAACUAUUGAGGGACUUCUAGUGGCGAACGGGUGAGUAACACGUGAGCAACCUGCCCCGAAGACCGGGAUAGCCCAUGGAAACGUGGAGUAAUACCGGAUACCCUCGCGGAACCGCAUGAUUCUGCGAGGAAAUGCUCCGGCGCUUUGGGAUGGGCUCGCGGCCUAUCAGCUUGUUGGUGAGGUAACGGCUCACCAAGGCACUGACGGGUAGCUGGUCUGAGAGGACGAUCAGCCACACUGGGACUGAGACACGGCCCAGACUCUACGGGAGGCAGCAGCAGGGAAUAUUGCACAAUGGGCGCAAGCCUGAUGCAGCGACGCCGCGUGAGGGAUGAAGGCGUUCGGGUUGUAAACCUCUUUCAGUGGGGAAGAAGCGCAAGUGACGGUACCCACACAAGAAGGCCCGGCCAACUACGUGCCAGCAGCCGCGGUAAUACGUAGGGGCCAAGCGUUAUCCGGAUUUAUUGGGCGUAAAGAGCUCGUAGGCGGUUUGGUAAGUCGGUCGUGAAAGUCCGAGGCUCAACCUUGGAAUGCCGGUCGAUACUGCCAUGACUAGGGUUCGGUAGAGGAGAGUGGAAUUCUCGGUGUAGCGGUGAAAUGCGCAGAUAUCGAGAGGAACACCAGUAGCGAAGGCGGCUCUCUGGGCCGAUACCGACGCUGAGGAGCGAAAGCGUGGGGAGCAAACAGGAUUAGAUACCCGUGGUAGUCCACGCCGUAAACGUUGAUCACUAGAUGUGGCGGACUCAUUGACGUCUGC
rnacentral:rRNA from 1 species